rnacentral:tRNA from 1 species
GAGGUUCUAGCUUAAUUAAAGCGUCUGGGUUGCAUUCAGAAGAUGUGGGUUAAUACCCUACGAAUCUUA